rnacentral:ncRNA from 1 species
GAGGUGCUAGAAAUAGCUUAAUAGGGAAACAGUUGUAAUUACUGUACGGUCCCGCCGCUGUGAUGAGGAGAACUUAUUCAAACCACUUUCAUUUGAAGGGAAGGGAAUAAGUUUGAUGAUUCUAAGUCAGAAGACCUGCCUACUAAUAA